rnacentral:rRNA from 1 species
CCUACGGGAGGCAGCAGUGGGGAAUAUUGGACAAUGGGCGAAAGCCUGAUCCAGCAAUGCCGCGUGAGUGAUGAAGGCCUUCGGGUCGUAAAGCUCUUUUACCAGGGAUGAUAAUGACAGUACCUGGAGAAUAAGCUCCGGCUAACUCCGUGCCAGCAGCCGCGGUAAUACGGAGGGAGCUAGCGUUGUUCGGAAUUACUGGGCGUAAAGAGUACGUAGGCGGUUAUUCAAGUCAGAGGUGAAAGCCCGGGGCUCAACCCCGGAACUGCCUUUGAAACUAGAUAACUAGAGUCUUGGAGAGGUUAGUGGAAUUCCGAGUGUAGAGGUGAAAUUCGUAGAUAUUCGGAAGAACACCAGUGGCGAAGGCGACUAACUGGACAAGUACUGACGCUGAGGUACGAAAGCGUGGGGAGCAAACAGGAUUAGAUACCCUGGUAGUCCACGCCGUAAACGAUGAUAACUAGUUGUUCGGUCACUUGGUGACUGAGUGACGCAGCUAACGCAUUAAGUUAUCCGCCUGGGGAUACGGUCGCAGGNUUAAAACUUAAAUGAAUUGACCGG